rnacentral:rRNA from 1 species
AGGACGAACGCUGGCGGCGUGCUUAACACAUGCAAGUCGAGCGGAAAGGCCCUUCGGGGUACUCGAGCGGCGAACGGGUGAGUAACACGUGAGCAACCUGCCCCUGGCUCUGGGAUAGCCUUCGGAAACGGGGAUUAAUACCGGAUAUUCACUGCUUCCUGCAUGGGGGGUGGUGGAAAGUUUUUCGGCUGGGGUGGGCUCGCGGCCUAUCAGCUUGUUGGGGGGGUGACGGCCCACCAAGGCGACGACGGGUAGCCGGCCUGAGAGGGCGACCGGCCACACUGGGACUGAGACACGGCCCAGACUCCUACGGGAGGCAGCAGUGGGGAAUAUUGCGCAAUGGGCGAAAGCCUGACGCAGCGACGCCGCGUGGGGGAUGAAGGCCUUCGGGUUGUAACCCCGUUUCAGCAGGGACGAAGCGAAGUGACGGUACCUGCAGAAGAAGCGCCGGCUAACUACGUGCCAGCAGCCGC